CUUGGGCCAAUCGGUUAUGGGAGAGUAAUAGGAGUAUUGCACAUAAAUACCAGGAAUUCCUUGAGGAAUUCAAAUUAACAUUCAAACCAUUAGGCAGGGAGGAUGACGCCUCCACUGCCCUAAUGUAUAUCAAACAAGGGAACCAGUCUAUCUCAGAUUAUGCAAUAGCAUUUCGCACCUUGGCUUCUGAAGUAGACUGGAUGAAUAGCGGGUUAAUCUUUGCAUUUAAAAAAAAGGAUUAUCCGAAGGAAUUCUGGACGAGAUUGCUGCCAAAGAUCUACCUAAAAAAAUUAAAUGAGUUUAUC